rnacentral:rRNA from 1 species
UGGGGAAUAUUGCACAAUGGGCGCAAGCCUGAUGCAGCCAUGCCGCGUGUGUGAAGAAGGCCUUCGGGUUGUAAAGUACUUUCAGCGGGGAGGAAGGGAGUAAAGUUAAUACCUUUGCUCAUUGACGUUACCCGCAGAAGAAGCACCGGCUAACUCCGUGCCAGCAGCCGCGGUAAUACGGAGGGUGCAAGCGUUAAUCGGAAUUACUGGGCGUAAAGCGCACGCAGGCGGUCUGUCAAGUCGGAUGUGAAAUCCCCGGGCUCAACCUGGGAACUGCAUUCGAAACUGGCAGGCUAGAGUCUUGUAGAGGGGGGUAGAAUUCCAGGUGUAGCGGUGAAAUGCGUAGAGAUCUGGAGGAAUACCGGUGGCGAAGGCGGCCCCCUGGACGAAGACUGACGCUCAGGUGCGAAAGCGUGGGGAGCAAACAGG